AUUGAACGCUGGCGGCAUGCCUUACACAUGCAAGUCGAACGGUAACAGGUCUUCGGAUGCUGACGAGUGGCGAACGGGGGAGUAAUACAUCGGAACGUGCCCAGACGCGGGGGAUAACGAGGCGAAAGCUUUGCUAAUACCGCAUACGAUCUAAGGAUGAAAGCAGGGGACCGCACGGCCUUGUGCGUUUGGAGCGGCCGAUGGCAGAUUAGGUAGUUGGUGGGAUAAAAGCUUACCAAGCCGACGAUCUGUAGCAGGUCUGAGAGGACGAGCAGCUACACUGUGACUGAGACACGGCCCAGACUCCUACGGUAGGCCGCAGUGGGGAAUCUUGGACAAUGGGCGAAAGCCUGAUCCAGCAAUGCCGCGUGCAGGAUGAAGGCCUUCGGGUUGUAAACUGCUGUUGUACGUAGCGAAAAGGCUCUGGCUAAUACCUGGGGCACAUGACGGUACCGUAAGAAUAAGCACCGGCUAACUACGUG
rnacentral:rRNA from 1 species